UGCCGCGUGUGUGAAAAGGCCUUCGGGUUGAAAGAAGGGAGGAAGGGGUAUACGUUAAUAGCGUAUUCUUGACGUUAGCGACAAGAAGCCCGGCUAACUCCGUGCCGCACCGCGGAAUACGGAGGGUGCGAGCGUUAAUCGGAAUUACUGGGCGUAAAGCGCAUGCAGUGGUUCGUUAAGCAUGUGAAAGCCCGGGGCUCAACCUCGAACUGCUUUGAAACUGGCGGACUAGUACUGUAGAGGGGGGUAGAAUUUCAGGGUAGCGGUGAAAUGCGUAGAGAUCUGAAGGAAUACCGGUGGCAAGCGGCCCCCUGGACAGAUACUGACACUCAGAUGCCAAAGCGUGGGGAGCAAAAGGAUUAGAUACCCUGGUAGUCCACGCCGUAAACAUGUCUACUUGGAGUUGUUCCCUUGAGGAGUGGCUUUCGGAGCUACGCGUAAGUAGACCGCCUGGG
rnacentral:rRNA from 1 species